UUUAUGACUCUCGACAACGGAUAUCUUGGCUCUUGCAUCGAUGAAGAACGCAGCGAAAUGCGAUAAGUGGUGUGAAUUGCAGAAUCCCGUGAACCAUCGAGUCUUUGAACGCAAGUUGCGCCCGAUGCCAUCAGGCUAAGGGCACGCCUGCCUGGGCGUCGUGU
rnacentral:rRNA from 7 species